rnacentral:rRNA from 1 species
UACAGAGGGUGCAAGCGUUAAUCGGAAUUACUGGGCGUAAAGCGUGCGUAGACGGUUAUGUAAGUCAGAUGUGAAAGCCCCGGGCUCAACCUGGGAAUUGCAUUUGAGACUGCAUAGCUAGGGUGCGGAAGAGGGAAGCGGAAUUUCCGGUGUAGCGGUGAAAUGCGUAGAUAUCGGAAGGAACACCAGUGGCGAAAGCGGCUUCCUGGUCCAGCACCGACGUUCAGGCACGAAAGCGUGGGGAGCAAAC